rnacentral:rRNA from 1 species
AUUGAACGCUGGCGGCAUGCCUUACACAUGCAAGUCGGACGGUAGCAGGUUAAGCUGACGAGUGGCGAACGGGUGAGUAAUGUAUCGGAACGUGCCCAGUCGUGGGGGAUAACUACUCGAAAGAGUGGCUAAUACCGCAUACGACCUGAGGGUGAAAGCGGGGGACCGUAAGGCCUCGCGCGAUUGGAGCGGCCGAUAUCAGAUUAGCUAGUUGGUGGGGUAAAAGCCCACCAAGGCGACGAUCUGUAGCUGGUCUGAGAGGACGACCAGCCACACUGGGACUGAGACACGGCCCAGACUCCUACGUGAGGCAGCAGUGGGGAAUUUUGGACAAUGGACGCAAGUCUGAUCCAGCCAUGCCGCGUGCGGGAAGAAGGCCUUCGGGUUGUAAACCGCUUUUGUCAGGGAAGAAACGAGUUUCUCUAAUACAGAGACUUAAUGACGGUACCUGAAGAAUAAGCACCGGCUAACUACGUGCCAGCCGCCGCGGUAAAAC